UACGUAGGGUGCGAGCGUUAAUCGGAAUUACUGGGCGUAAAGCGUGCGCAGGCGGUGAGCUGUGUCCGAUGUGAAAGCCCCGGGCUUAACCUGGGAAUGGCAUUGGAAACUGGCUCGCUGGAGUGUGGCAGAGGGGGGUGGAAUUCCGCGUGUAGCAGUGAAAUGCGUAGAGAUGCGGAGGAACACCGAUGGCGAAGGCAGCCCCCUGGGCUAACGCUGACGCUCAGGCACGAAAGCGUGGGGAGCAAACAGG
rnacentral:rRNA from 1 species